rnacentral:misc_RNA from 1 species
AAGUCGUAACAAGGUUUCCGUAGGUGAACCUGCGGAAGGAUCAUUAACGAAUCUUUGAGGUUGUGCUGGUUCUCACAAGUGCACACCUCUUACAUUCCAUUCACACCCUUCUGUGCACUUUAAGAGACGUAUUUCCCCCGUUUACGUGCCGCAAGGCUCGGGACUUCGUCUAUUUUACACACUCUUAUGUAUUAGAAUGUAUUCAGCGGAAACGCUAAAAAACAAAAAAUAACUUUCAACAACGGAUCUCUUGGUUCUC